CCAAUGGGGCUUGCGCGCGGGAGGAGCGCCGAGUUUGAACCAGGGGCGCCGGUGAGGGUGUCGUGGGGUUGGGGGAGCGCGCGGAAGCGCGCUUCCGGGCCCUGAACCCACGAGCCAGCGGCGACACCGGCAGCGGGGACCGACGGAGGGGCUGGCCCUGCGUGUGCCGGGGACUGCGACACUUGAGUGCAAACGGGGAUGGAAACAUCUGUAUGACAGAAAACCUGGCCUCUUACUGCUAGGACUCUCCUCUUGGCUCCAAGCCUUGAGGGCAGUGAAGAGACAGAGAAAAGGUAAAGCCUAAGGACUUGGGUUUUACAAAACUGUUGCCGGCUCUGUAUGUCAUAUAAUGUCGCUGGGCUCGGUGACACACGCCUGUCAUCCCAGCACUGGGGAGGGUGAGGCAGGAGGAUGGCCAAGGGUUUGAGGCCAGCCUGGGCUACACAGCGAGACCCUGUCUCAAAAAAACAAAAUAAAACAAGAGUGGCUAAUACUGAGCCAGAGGACCUGGGGACAGGUUGGAAUGAACUGGUUUAGUCCUCACAAUAGCCUUGUGGGAUAAGGGCUAAGAUUCACAGCUGCCAGGCUUGGAAGGGAGGGACAGAGAAGUCAGCCCAACCAGAGAACAGCACCUGCAUUUUCCCAGUGAGACUCAGUGCUGUGCUUCUUCCAGUCCGUUUUCUCUUCCUGUCACCACAUCCCAUGCUCAACAGCGUCACCCAUUCAGUCCUUCUCUGCUUGUUACUGAGUCUCUCCACCCCAGAGAGAUAUUUGUCUCUCUGUCUUUGUAACCAAAGCAAUUUAAGCAAUCAUCAGAGUACUGUACAAACCACAUUCCUUUUCCACAAUUAAAUUAUAAGUACAAAUGGAAAAGAAAUCUACAUGUGGAAAUUUUAAAAAUACACUUAACUCAGACAAAUAGGGCAUCAUAAUUAUAAUUAAAAGAUAAUAGGGCCGGGGAUUUAGCUCAGUGGUUCUACCACCUACCUCGCAAGCACAAGGUCCCAACUUCGAUCCCUAGUACCAAAAAAAGAUAAGCCAGAAGAGGUGGGGCACAUCUAUAAUCCCAGCAUUUGGGAGGCUGAAACAAAAAGGCUCACAAAUUUGAGGUCAGCCUGAGCUACAUAGUGAGACCUUGUUUCAAAAAAACAACAGGAAACAAAAACAAAAGCUUUGGGGGCCAGGGGUGUUGUUCAGGGAUAGGACACUUGCUUAGCACACAGGAUACCCUGGGUCUGGCCCUCUCCCAUGUGAGUGUGCACACACACACACACAAGCUUUUGGACAGGGCUGGGGAUGUAGCUCAAUGGUUCUGCUUUCUGCCUCACAAGCACAAGAUCCUGAGUUCGAUCCCCAGUACCUAGGGGGGAAAAAUAAAUAAAAUCUACCUUAAGGGCUAGGGAUACAGCUCAGUAGUAGAGCAUGUGCUUAGCGUAUGUGAAGCCCUGGGUUCAAUCCCUAACACCACAAUAAAUAAACAAACAAACUACCUUCAUACACAUUAAAAACUCCACCAGAAAUUUAUAGGCAAUUGGAAAAACAAUUCUAUUAUACAGACCUUUCUUUUCUUUUCUUUUUUUGGUACCGGGGUUCGAACUCAGGUCCUUGCGCUUGCCAGGCAGGAGGCAGAACCACUGAGCUAAAUCCCCGGCCCUAUACAGACCCUUCACAGAACACUUCAGUCUAUUUUAUGAUUCCAGAAAUGAGAUAAAAAAAUUACAAGUCAAUCUCUUUUAUAAAUGUAGUUGUAAGAAAAAUCUUAAUAUUAGCUAUCAGAGGUCAGCAAUGUAUAAAAUAAUGUUAUAACCAUGUGAAGUCUACCCCAGGAAUGCAAGAAUGGUUUAACAUUAGAAAAUCUAUCAGUGGCCAGGUAUGAUGACACACAUUUGUAAUCCCAGGGACUCUGGAGGCUGAGGCAGGAGAAUAGUGAGUUCAAGGCCAACCUGGGCAAUUUAGACUCUGUCUCAAAGUAAAAAAUAAAAAGGGCUGGGGAUGUAGUCCACCACAGUGCUUGUGUCGCAGGCAGAAGGCCCUGGGUGCAAUCCCCAGCUCUAAAAAAAUGAACAAAAGAGCUGAGGAUUUAGAGUGCAAGGUCCUGAGUUCGAUCUUUGGUGGGGGGUCAACCCAAACCAAAGAAUGCAGUUCCUCCUCUGCACCACCAGCCCAGGAGGGGGCGUGGUGGGCGUCAAGGUGAGGGAAGCUGGACAUCUGGAGACACAGUGGCGCCUCUGGUGACAGAGCUGGUCAAGUCCCCUGGGCUUGCCUUCUCACCACCUGUGUGAUGGGCUGAGUUCCUUCCUGUGUCCCUUUACCUUCGAAGAAUAGAGCUGUAACAGUUAUUCAGUGCUCAUAUAGCGAGGUUGCUGUGCAAGCUAAACACCAUUUGUGAAGCACUUAGUCCAGAGUACUUAGCACCCAGGCACCUGGGCCCAGCAUGCAGCCGAUGGUGCAUAAUAUUUGUCCUACGAAGGAGUUCUUUUUUUGGUACUGGGGAUGGAACUCGGGACCUUGUGCUUUCGAGGCAGGUGGUGGAACCACUGAGCUAAAUCCCCAGUCCUGUCCUACGAAUGAAUCAGAGCCAGGGAAGAGUCUGAAUCCAAGAGUAGAAGAAUUAUUACCAAUGCAGCAAAUCCUCACCCAGCUCUUUAAGUGCCCCACACUAUGGGACAGACCGUCAGAGCAGGGUUCUGCUGUCCAGGGCCUAAGGACAAGAACCAAGUGAAGGGGCUGUGGUGAGACUUGCAACAGCAGCAUGACCCAGGGCCAGGUCCCUGCCCUGCCCUUCCCAGCUCCUGAAGUUGCAGGGGGGCCCCCAAGUCCUAGAAAUCCCUCUGACCCUCAAGGAACUGUUGUUUGUUGGGCCUGUCCCCACCCAGGUGGGCAGAAGUGGCCACCCUGACAACAGCCUAGCCUGGGCAGUGCUCUUGCCUGUGGGUUUUAAUGAGCUGCCCUGGGUUAGAACUAGGACGGGACUGCGCUGGCUGAGAACCCUGAAGAUCUUAUUAAAGGAUCAUCUUCCUUGUACUUUGGGCUGAAAUGCUCUUUCCAAGUGAGGAUCAAAGCAAACUUGACAAAGGUUCUUUCAUUAAUCUCCCAUUCCCCGGGGCGGGAGCUGUUCCCUCCUUGACGUUGAUGCAAAACCUCCCUCCGAGGCAGGCAGAGCGGAGACCUGGACCCUGGUGACCCAGGGCACCUGUGCGAGUGUCACCUGCAUCCCGACCCCGUGGCCCCAGCACUGGCUCAGAAGAAGGGGGUCAUCUCAGGCAAACACGCUCCCCCCUGGCCCUCAGCAGGCAGGGAGGAGGGAGUGUAAAGGUUAGGCAGCUCUUCUGCCGGUGCCCUUUUUAAUUUCCUGCUUAGAAUGUUAGGCUGCUCUGUGGCUCCGCCACUGCACUGCCCAGCGGCCUUAGCUCUCGCUGUGGUGCUGGGAUGGGGGUGGCCAGGCAGUGCAGACCCAGCCACCUUUGCCUUCACUUCCCCCGGCCGGAAAGCAGGCUUCCCGGGUUGAGAACAGGGGGUGGAACAUUAGGCCAGGCCCACACAUCUGCAAGUGCUAGCGUAUCCCUGAGGCCAGCAGGCGAAAGGGACUGUAAGCAUCAGAGGGUGUUACUACAACCGCCCACCCGCCGUCAGGCUUCACUGGCAGCGGACUGGACUGGGGCAAGGUGAGCCCUCUGUGUCUCAGGUUCCUCACUGAGAAAUGAGGAUAAUCACCCAGUCUGUGCACGGGAUUGCGAUGGGGUGGAAGAUGAUGAGUGUAAGGUACUAGAGUGAUCCCUGCUGGAGUCUGUUAUGCCAAUCCGAUUGCCAGGACGAAAAUGGAAUUAUUCAGAUGUACAAGCAUUAUUGUGGGGUGAUGUUUUUCCCUCUUUUUGUAUGCAGAAGUUAAGUUUAGAGGUGAGGGGGCAGGAAUUUCAAAUUAGCUCAGUUCUGGCUGUUUCCCAAGGAGAACCUGAGCACUUGUUGGAGUGCUGGGUAGAAAGCCCACUUUUCUUAGCUGGAUGACCUCGGAGUUUGUGACCCAUGGCAGCAUGCAGCCUUCUGGGGGAAAGCUUGGGUCGGUUCUCAGCCUGGGAGCAGCUCCGCUUCUUAACCCUGUUGACCGAUCCCUGGAGUUGGGCUAAAGUUCCCCAGGGGACCUGUGACUCCUGCAUUCCAAAAAUGUUGAAGGUGGC
ensembl:lncRNA